rnacentral:rRNA from 1 species
AACGAACGCUGGCGGCAGGCCUAACACAUGCAAGUCGAGCGAGGACUUCGGUUCUAGCGGCGGACGGGUGAGUAACGCGUGGGAAUGUGCCCUUCUCUACGGAAUAGCCCUGGGAAACUGGGAGUAAUACCGUAUACGCCCUAUUGGGGAAAGAUUUAUCGGAGAAGGAUCAGCCCGCGUUGGAUUAGGUAGUUGGUGGGGUAAUGGCCUACCAAGCCGACGAUCCAUAGCUGGUUUGAGAGGAUGAUCAGCCACACUGGGACUGAGACACGGCCCAGACUCCUACGGGAGGCAGCAGUGGGGAAUCUUAGACAAUGGGGGCAACCCUGAUCUAGCCAUGCCGCGUGAGUGAUGAAGGCCUGAGGGUUGUAAAGCUCUUUCAGCUGGGAAGAUAAUGACGGUACCAGCAGAAGAAGCCCCGGCUAACUACGUG